CAAGUACUCCCUCCGUCCGGAAUUACUUGCCAUCAAAAUGGAUGUGUCUAGAACUAAAAUACAUCUAGAUACAUCCAUUCCAAUGACAAGUAUUUUCGGACGGAGGGAGUACAAG
rnacentral:pre_miRNA from 1 species